CCUACGGGAGGCAGCAGUAGGGAAUCUUCCGCAAUGGACGAAAGUCUGACGGAGCAACGCCGCGUGAACGAUGAAGGCCUUCGGGUCGUAAAGUUCUGUUGUUAGGGAAGAACAAGUGCUAGUUAAAUAAGCCGGCACCUUGACGGUACCUAACCAGAAAGCCACGGCUGACUACGUGCCAGCAGCCGCGGUAAUACGUAGGUGGCAAGCGUUGUCCGGAAUUAUUGGGCGUAAAGCGCGCGCAGGCGGUUUCUUAAGUCUGAUGUGAAAGCCCCCCGGCUCAACCGGGGAGGGUCAUUGGAAACUGGGAAACUUGAGUGCAGAAGAGGAAAGUGGAAUUCCAAGUGUAGCGGUGAAAUGCGUAGAGAUUUGGAAGAACACCAGUGGCGAAGGCGACUUUCUGGUCUGUAACUGACGCUGAGGCGCGAAAGCGUGGGGAGCAAACAGGAUUAGAUACCCUGGUAGUCCACGCUGUAAACGAUGAGUGCUAAGUGUUAGAGGGUUUCCGCCCUUUAGUGCUGAAGUUAACGCAUUAAGCACUCCGCCUGGGGGAGUACGGUCGCAAGACUGAAACUUAAGGAAUUGACGG
rnacentral:rRNA from 1 species